rnacentral:rRNA from 1 species
UACGUAGGGGGCUAGCGUUGUCCGGAAUCAUUGGGCGUAAAGAGCGCGUAGGCGGCUAGAUAAGUCCGGUGUGAAAGUCACAGGCUCAACCUGUGAAUGCCGCUGGAAACUGUCUGGCUAGAGUCCGGAAGGGGCGAGUGGAAUUCCUGGUGUAGCGGUGAAAUGCGCAGAUAUCAGGAGGAACACCAAUGGCGAAGGCAGCUCGCUGGGACGGUACUGACGCUGAGACGCGAAAGCGUGGGGAGCGAACAGG